ensembl:lncRNA
GCUGCACAUACAUGCCUAAAACUAAGUAAUUCUAAGACAUAACAGGGCAGUAUAUCAGUAAGUCAUCGACACUUCAAUGAACUAUCAUCAGAGAAAAUAGCAAACAGGUUAUGCAAAUGAGCAGACAAUCCCAACCUUGUUUCUAAAGUCAUACUUGACUUGAGGACAAUUCACUGAUGAAAAAGGGAGAGCGGGAGGCAGAGGGAGAGGGGAAUAGGGAACAGGACAGACAGGGAGAAGGAGAGGUGUAGAAAGAAAAAGAGGGAGGGGGUAGCAGAAGAUGGAGGGAAGGGAAGAAAAAGGGAGGAAGAAAGAAAGAGAAAUGAAGGAAGAAAAAAUGAAAACAUCCUAGUGAAAUAUUGCUUAAAAUGACAGUUAUGUCACGUCGCCCUGUCCCUAGGCAAUUUGAAGGACGUUCCAAGCAUGAGUGCCCAGUUAGAAUAAAGUGUCAUGAGUUCAUAACUUUCUUAACCUAGGAAGGAUCACAGAAAUCAUACUUCAGUUUACUGGAGGCUAUUGAGGCACAGAGAGGUAAAGCACCUUUUUAGAGUUGCACAGCAUCUUAAAGGAGGUUAACUCAAGCUUUCACUGUUACUAGAGAUAACCAAUGGAGUAUACUUUGACAAAGCAUAGUUAAGGCUUGCUAACAUUUAAAAUCAUCCAACAUUAUUACAGUUACUAAAUUAAUUAUUUUUCAUUCAGCCAUAUUCAUUCAGCCUUUUUUUUUUUUUUUUUUUUUUUUUUUAAGACGGAGUUUCACUAUGUUACCCAGGCUGGCCUCAAACUCCUAGGCUCAACCUAUCCUCCAUCCUCAGCCUCCCUGGUAGCUGGGAUUACAGGCCUGUGACACCACACCCAGCUCAUAUUCACUUUUUAACUUGUCAUCAUGGAGAUAGUUCACAGAACUGCAUUCCUUGCUUCACAGUGGCUGCCCUAAGCUGUUAAGGAGGGUUAGGGUAUGAUUUGUGUGCAGAGGUCCUGCUUCCAAAUGCUGCUGAGGAUGUUAUAAAGUCCUCUUUGUGCUUAACCCAGCAGCUCUGGGGUCAAACAAAACAGUCUGCCAAGGAUCCAAAACAAAGAAUGCAAGGGGAUGUAACUCUCUGAUGAUAUAUCCCAAUUUACAAAAUUCUUUCCACUUUGCUCAACCCCAGGGCUUUCUAGGAACUAAAGAGCUGGUAGGACACAAAUUGUCCAUAAUGUUGCUGGGUAGAUUUUUACGCGUGCAAACACAUACAGAGAUACACUACCUUUACAUAUACAAUUCAAGAAUUUUCCUUUAUUCUCUUUCAUAGCACUUUAAAUGUAUUUUGAAGAUCAAAUUGUUAUGGCUUUACAAGUACCUCUUCCAAGGUAUAUGUAACACCCAUCUGGCUUCCCGAUCUGUCAAGAGGCCACAUACCCUAAACUAACUCCUGGAGCAUUCAAUCCAUUUUCCUGCAGAUUAAGCACAAACAACUAGGGAGACAGUGUCCCAAUUUUAUAAAAUUAUCUAAACAUUCCAAAAGUAAUAGAAGCAAACUAUAAAUCUUGCAAAUAACCUCUCUGAGCUUUGUGGUGACUGGCUACAAAAAUGUUUAACAUUGUAAGGUAUGAGUUGAAAUUUCUAUAUAUUUGAAUGGAAAAUAAAAAUCAAAUUUAACUACAUUGGGAAGAUACUCCUCUACAGAAGGCAAUAGUUUCUGCUAAAUACAAAUAAAGGGGUUGAGCAAAAAAAAAAAAAAAAAAAAAAAAAA